rnacentral:misc_RNA from 1 species
AAAAUGCGAUAAGUAAUGUGAAUUGCAGAAUUCAGUGAAUCAUCGAAUCUUUGAACGCACAUUGCGCCCGCCAGUAUUCUGGCGGGCAUGCCUGUUCGAGCGUCAUUUGUACCCUCAAGCUCUGCUUGGUGUUGGGUGUUUGUCCCGUCUCCGCGCGUGGACUCGCCCCAAAGUGAUUGGCAGCCGGCGUACUGGUCCCGGAGCGCAGCACAUGUCGCGCAAACGAGUGCCUUGGUACGGCGGCGUCCAUAAGCCCCUCUCUCACGCUCUUGACCUCGGAUCAGGUAGGGAUACCCGCUGAACUUAAGC